rnacentral:rRNA from 1 species
UUAACACAUGCAAGUCGAGGGACAGCAUGGUCUUAGCUUGCUAAGGCUGAUGGCGACCGGCGCACGGGUGAGUAACACGUAUCCAACCUGCCGUCUACUCUUGGCCAGCCUUCUGAAAGGAAGAUUAAUCCAGGAUGGGAUCAUGAGUUCACAUGUCCGCAUGAUUAAAGGUAUUUUCCGGUAGACGAUGGGGAUGCGUUCCAUUAGAUAGUAGGCGGGGUAACGGCCCACCUAGUCAACGAUGGAUAGGGGUUCUGAGAGGAAGGUCCCCCACAUUGGAACUGAGACACGGUCCAAACUCCUACGGGAGGCAGCAGUGAGGAAUAUUGGUCAAUGGGCGAUGGCCUGAACCAGCCAAGUAGCGUGAAGGAUGACUGCCCUAUGGGUUGUAAACUUCUUUUAUAAAGGAAUAAAGUCGGGUAUGCAUACCCGUUUGCAUGUACUUUAUGAAUAAGGAUCGGCUAACUCCGUGCCAGCAGCCGCGGUAAUACGGAGGAUCCGAGCGUUAUCCGGAUUUAUUGGGUUUAAAGGGAGCGUAGAUGGAUGUUUAAGUCAGUUGUGAAAGUUUGCGGCUCAACCGUAAAAUUGCAGUUGAUACUGGAUGUCUUGAGUGCAGUUGAGGCAGGCGGAAUUCGUGGUGUAGCGGUGAAAUGCUUAGAUAUCACGAAGAACUCCGAUUGCGAAGGCAGCCUGCUAAGCUGCAACU